AUGGUUAGUUCUUUGGUGAUAUUCCAGUUCUUAAGAUCUCUCCUUCCGGACUUCCAUGUCAAGUUUGGUCUACCACGACCUUUCUUGACAUUAUCAGCAUGCUUUAACAGCCUUCUAUGCACUGGCACUUCUGGAGGCCUGCGUGCUAUAUGCCCAAACCAUCUCAGGCAUGCUGGACAAGCUUCUCUUCAGUCGGUGCUACCCCAACCGUAUAUCAUCAUUCCGGACCUGAUCCUUUCUUGUGUGGCCACAUAUCCAUCUCAACAUGUGCAUCUCUGCUACACAACUGUUGGACAUCUCACCUUUUUGUUGGCCUUUUUGCGCAUACAACAGCGCAGGUCGAAUCGCCAUCCUAUAGAACCUGCCUUUUAG
rnacentral:rRNA from 1 species